rnacentral:rRNA from 1 species
AGUGAACGCUGGCGGUAGGCCUAACACAUGCAAGUCGAACGGCAGCACAGUAAGAGCUUGCUCUUACGGGUGGCGAGUGGCGGACGGGUGAGGAAUACAUCGGAAUCUACUUUUUCGUGGGGGAUAACGUAGGGAAACUUACGCUAAUACCGCAUACGACCUACGGGUGAAAGCAGGGGAUCUUCGGACCUUGCGCGAUUGAAUGAGCCGAUGUCGGAUUAGCUAGUUGGCGGGGUAAAGGCCCACCAAGGCGACGAUCCGUAGCUGGUCUGAGAGGAUGAUCAGCCCCACUGGAACUGAGACACGGUCCAGACUCCUACGGGAGGCAGCAGUGGGGAAUAUUGGACAAUGGGCGCAAGCCUGAUCCAGCCAUACCGGGUGGGUGAAGAAGGCCUUCGGGUGGUAAAGCCCUUUUGUUGGGAAAGAAAAGCAGCAGGUUAAUACCCCGCUGUUCGGACGGUACCCAAAGAAUAAGCACCGGCUAACUUCGU